AAUAAACGUUGGCGGCGUGCUUAACACAUGCAAGUCGAGCGAGAAAGGCCCUUCGGGGCUGAGUAGAGCGGCAAACGGGUGCGUAACACGUAGGAAUCUACCUUUCAGUGGAGAAUACCCUCGAGAAAUCGAGGUUAAUACUGCAUAUCUCUCGCAAGAGAGAAAGAUGGCCUCUUGCUGUCGCUGAAAGAUGAGCCUGCGGACUAUUAGCUUGUUGGUGGGGUAAAGGCCUACCAAGGCGAUGAUGGUUAGCCGGCCUGAGAGGGUGUACGGCCACACUGGAACUUAGACACGGUCCAGACUCCUACGGAGGCAGCAGUGAGGAAUAUUGCGCAAUGGGCGAAAGCCUGACGCAGCGACGCCGCGUGGAGGAUGAAGGUCUUCGGAUUGUAAACUUCUGUUAAGUGGGAAGAAAGGGGUUUGUGUUAAUAGCACAACAAGAUGACGGUACCACUAGAGAAAGCACCGGCUAACUUCGU
rnacentral:rRNA from 1 species